rnacentral:rRNA from 1 species
AGUGAACGCUGGCGGUAGGCCUAACACAUGCAAGUCGAACGGCAGCACAGUAAGCGCUUGCUCUUACGGGUGGCGAGUGGCGGACGGGUGAGGCAUACAUCGGAAUCUACUUUUUCGUGGGGGAUAACGUAGGGAAACUUACGCUAAUACCGCAUACGACCUACGGGUGAAAGCAGGGGAUCUUCGGACCUUGCGCGAUUGAAUGAGCCGAUGUCGGAUUAGCUAGUUGGCGGGGUAAAGGCCCACCAAGGCGACGAUCCGUAGCUGGUCUGAGAGGAUGAUCAGCCACACUGGAACUGAGACACGGUCCAGACUCCUACGGGAGGCAGCAGUGGGGAAUAUUGGACAAUGGGCGCAAGCCUGAUCCAGCCAUACCGCGUGGGUGAAGAAGGCCUUCGGGUUGUAAAGCCCUUUUGUUGGGAAAGAAAAGCAGCAGGUUAAUCCCCCGCUGUUCUGACGGUACCCAAAGAAUAAGCACCGGCUAACUUCGUG